AUUUAUGGCGGGCCCGGCGGAGCGGCUUUCGGGCUGGCUGGCUUCCUUGGGUGCCAGUUUUCCACCUCCGCUGUCGGCCCGCCGCCCUA
rfam:Mumia flava strain MTSC 201 Contig347, whole genome shotgun sequence.